UACGUAGGGGGCGAGCGUUAUCCGGAUUCAUUGGGCGUAAAGCGCGCGUAGGCGGCGCGUCAAGCGGGACCUCUAACCCCGGGGCUCAACCCCGGGCCGGGUCCCGGACUGGCGCGCUCGAGUGCGGUAGAGGCGAGUGGAAUUCCCGGUGUAGCGGUGGAAUGCGCAGAUAUCGGGAAGAACACCGAUGGCGAAGGCAGCUCGCUGGGCCGACACUGACGCUGAGGCGCGAAAGCUGGGGGAGCGAACAGG
rnacentral:rRNA from 1 species